CUCGUAGGCGGCUCAUUGCGUCAACCGUGAAAUCCUGCUGCUCAACGGCAGGUCUGCGGUUGAUACGGGUGGGCUGGAGUUCGGUAGGGGAGACUGGAAUUCCUGGUGUAGCGGUGAAAUGCGCAGAUAUCAGGAGGAACACCGGUGGCGAAGGCGGGUCUCUGGGCCGAUACUGACGCUGAGGAGCGAAAGCGUGGGGAGCGAACAGGAUUAGAUACCCUGGUAGUCCACGCUGUAAACGUUGGGCGCUAGGUGUGGGGGGCCUCUCCGGUUUCCUGCGCCGUAGCUAACGCAUUAAGCGCCCCGCCUGGGGAGUACGGCCGCAAGGCUAAA
rnacentral:rRNA from 1 species